rnacentral:rRNA from 1 species
AUUGAACGCUGGCGGCAUGCUUUACACAUGCAAGUCGAACGGUAACAGGUUAAGCUGACGAGUGGCGAACGGGUGAGUAAUGCAUCGGAACGUGCCCGGUCGUGGGGGAUAACACUUCGAAAGAAGUGCUAAUACCGCAUACGAUCUGAGGAUGAAAGCGGGGGACCGUAAGGCCUCGCGCGAUCGGAGCGGCCGAUGUCAGAUUAGGUAGGUAGUGGGGUAAAGGCCUACCAAGCCGACGAUCUGUAGCUGGUCUGAGAGGACGACCAGCCACACUGGGACUGAGACACGGCCCAGACUCCUACGGGAGGCAGCAGUGGGGAAUUUUGGACAAUGGGCGCAAGCCUGAUCCAGCAAUGCCGCGUGCAGGAAGGAGGCCUUCGGGUUGUAAACUGCUUUUGUACGGAGCGAAAAGGCUCUCUCUAAUACAGGGGGCUGAUGACGGUACCGUAAGAAUAAGCACCGGCUAACUACGUGCCAGCCGCCGCAGUAAUAC